rnacentral:sRNA from 1 species
ACACCACAACUGAAUUCAGUGCUUGCUGGACUGCUGAUCUUCUGCAGGCUUUGGAGGAUUAUUUGCCUCUGCUCUUCUCAGCCUAGUCAAAGAUGAUAACCUGAUUUCCCCUUCUUUUUAAUUGGUCUGAAUGAAAUCCAGGAGAUUUGUGUCAGUCGAGGUUGAAUUCUUUUACAGGGAGCGAGUUGGAAGAUAGUACAAUUUUGCAUUUAUGAACGAAGAGGAUGAUGCAGAGGUCCGCGUGCACCUAUAUUGUUGCAUGUGGUGUAGGACAAUAGGAGUGAUACUGUACUGUGUUUGAUCAUCUAUUUGUCUUGUGUACCGUCAAUGCCCAGUGCUUAGAAUGAGAUGCUACCUGUUGUCUUGGACACGUGACGGCUAUGCUGCAUUCGUCCGAAGCAAUUUUUGUGCGUCUUCCUAAGACAUGUAUUGAGGGAUACCAUGCUAAUAUAAGGUAUCUGAGGGUCUGGAGCAAUAUGUAAGCAUAUGAGAUACAGAUAAUUAGACUCUGAAACUUUGUGUUUGUAUUCC